rnacentral:rRNA from 1 species
CCUACGGGAGGCAGCAGUGGGGAAUAUUGCACAAUGGGCGCAAGCCUGAUGCAGCCAUGCCGCGUGUGUGAAGAAGGCCUUCGGGUUGUAAAGCACUUUCAGCGGGGAGGAAGGCAGUGAGGUUAAUAACCUCAUCGAUUGACGUUACCCGCAGAAGAAGCACCGGCUAACUCCGUGCCAGCAGCCGCGGUAAUACGGAGGGUGCAAGCGUUAAUCGGAAUUACUGGGCGUAAAGCGCACGCAGGCGGUCUGUCAAGUCGGAUGUGAAAUCCCCGGGCUCAACCUGGGAACUGCAUUCGAAACUGGCAGGCUAGAGUCUUGUAGAGGGGGGUAGAAUUCCAGGUGUAGCGGUGAAAUGCGUAGAGAUCUGGAGGAAUACCGGUGGCGAAGGCGGCCCCCUGGACAAAGACUGACGCUCAGGUGCGAAAGCGUGGGGAGCAAACAGGAUUAGAUACCCUUGUAGUC